rnacentral:rRNA from 1 species
CAGUCGCCACGGUAAUACGGAGGGAGCUAGCGUUGUUCGGAAUUACUGGGCGUAAAGCGCGCGUAGGCGGUUACUCAAGUCAGAGGUGAAAGCCCGGGGCUCAACCCCGGAACUGCCUUUGAAACUAGGUGGCUAGAAUCUUGGAGAGGUCAGUGGAAUUCCGAGUGUAGAGGUGAAAUUCGUAGAUAUUCGGAAGAACACCAGUGGCGAAGGCGACUGACUGGACAAGUAUUGACGCUGAGGUGCGAAAGCGUGGGGAGCAAACAGGAUUAGAUACCCCCGUAGUCCCUGUCUCUUAUAC